ACGGAUAACAUACCGAAAGGUAUGCUAAUACGGGAUAAUAUAUUUGAGAGGCAUCUCUUAAAUAUCAAAGGUGAGCCAGUACAGGAUGGACCCGCGUCUGAUUAGCUAGUUGGUAAGGUAACAGCUUACCAAGGCGACGAUCAGUAGCCGACCUGAGAGGGUGAUCGGCCACAUUGGAACUGAGACACGGUCCAAACUCCUACGGGAGGCAGCAGUGGGGAAUAUUGCACAAUGGGCGAAAGCCUGAUGCAGCAACGCCGCGUGAGUGAUGAAGGCCUUCGGGUCGUAAAACUCUGUCCUCAAGGAAGAUAAUGACGGUACUUGAGGAGGAAGCCCCGGCUAACUACGUGCCAGCAGCCGCGGUAAUACGUAGGGGGCUAGCGUUAUCCGGAUUUACUGGGCGUAAAGGGUGCGUAGGCGGUCUUUCAAGUCAGGAGUGAAAGGCUACGGCUCAACCGUAGUAAGCUCUUGAAACUGGGAGACUUGAGUGCAGGAGAGGAGAGUGGAAUUCCUAGUGUAGCGGUGAAAUGCGUAGAUAUUAGGAGGAACACCAGUUGCGAAGGCGGCUCUCUGGACUGUAACUGACGCUGAGGCACGAAAGCGUGGGGAGCAAACAGGAUUAGAUACCCUGGUAGUCCACGCUGUAAACGAUGAGUACUAGGUGUCGGGGGUUACCCCCCUCGGUGCCGCAG
rnacentral:rRNA from 1 species